rnacentral:rRNA from 1 species
UACGAAGGGGGCUAGCGUUGUUCGGAAUUACUGGGCGUAAAGCGCGCGCAGGCGGUCUUCCAAGUCAGUGGUGAAAGCCCGGAGCUCAACUCCGGAACUGCCAUUGAAACUGUUAGACUUGAGGAUGAGAGAGGUGAGUGGAAUUCCCAGUGUAGAGGUGAAAUUCGUAGAUAUUGGGAAGAACACCGGUGGCGAAGGCGGCUCACUGGCUCAUUACCGACGCUCAGGCGCGAUAGCGUGGGGAUCAAACAGG